UGCAGUCGAGCGAACGGACGAGAAGCUUGCUUUCUCUGAUGUUAGCGGCGGACGGGUGAGUAACACGUGGAUAACCUACCUAUAAGACUGGGAUAACUUCGGGAAACCGGAGCUAAUACCGGAUAAUAUUUUGAACCGCAUGGUUCAAAAGUGAAAGACGGUCUUGCUGUCACUUAUAGAUGGAUCCGCGCUGCAUUAGCUAGUUGGUAAGGUAACGGCUUACCAAGGCAACGAUGCAUAGCCGACCUGAGAGGGUGAUCGGCCACACUGGAACUGAGACACGGUCCAGACUCCUACGGGAGGCAGCAGUAGGGAAUCUUCCGCAAUGGGCGAAAGCCUGACGGAGCAACGCCGCGUGAGUGAUGAAGGUCUUCGGAUCGUAAAACUCUGUUAUUAGGGAAGAACAUAUGUGUAAGUAACUGUGCACAUCUUGACGGUACCUAAUCAGAAAGCCACGGCUAACUACGUGCCAGCAGCCGCGGUAAUACGUAGGUGGCAAGCGUUAUCCGGAAUUAUUGGGCGUAAAGCGCGCGUAGGCGGUUUUUUAAGUCUGAUGUGAAAGCCCACGGCUCAACCGUGGAGGGUCAUUGGAAACUGGAAAACUUGAGUGCAGAAGAGGAAAGUGGAAUUCCAUGUGUAGCGGUGAAAUGCGCAGAGAUAUGGAGGAACACCAGUGGCGAAGGCGACUUUCUGGUCUGUAACUGACGCUGAUGUGCGAAAGCGUGGGGAUCAAACAGGAUUAGAUACCCUGGUAGUCCACGCCGUAAACGAUGAGUGCUAAGUGUUAGGGGGUUUCCGCCCCUUAGUGCUGCAGCUAACGCAUUAAGCACUCCGCCUGGGGAGUACGACCGCAAGGUUGAAACUCAAAGGAAUUGACGGGGACCCGCACAAGCGGUGGAGCAUGUGGUUUAAUUCGAAGCAACGCGAAGAACCUUACCAAAUCUUGACAUCCUUUGACAACUCUAGAGAUAGAGCCUUCCCCUUCGGGGGACAAAGUGACAGGUGGUGCAUGGUUGUCGUCAGCUCGUGUCGUGAGAUGUUGGGUUAAGUCCCGCAACGAGCGCAACCCUUAAGCUUAGUUGCCAUCAUUAAGUUGGGCACUCUAAGUUGACUGCCGGUGACAAACCGGAGGAAGGUGGGGAUGACGUCAAAUCAUCAUGCCCCUUAUGAUUUGGGCUACACACGUGCUACAAUGGACAAUACAAAGGGCAGCGAAACCGCGAGGUCAAGCAAAUCCCAUAAAGUUGUUCUCAGUUCGGAUUGUAGUCUGCAACUCGACUACAUGAAGCUGGAAUCGCUAGUAAUCGUAGAUCAGCAUGCUACGGUGAAUACGUUCCCGGGUCUUGUACACACCGCCCGUCACACCACGAGAGUUUGUAACACCCGAAGCCGGUGGA
rnacentral:rRNA from 1 species